GCAGUGGGUGCUUUCCUUCCUUUCCAGAGCCCCGUAGUGCACCUGCUUGGUUAGGGAGCAUGUGAGCCGAAACACUGGGAGAAACUUCAUCCGCGGUGGGCGGUGGUGGAGCCGGGAGUUUGGUCUUGAGUGAGCGCGAGCGAGAAUGCCAGCGUGAGGGGAGUGGGGAAAGAUCGAGGAGCGGAAGGGAGAGGUGUCAGCGUCUUCCCUCCGUCCUGCAGACGACCCUUCUUACGCGGGAGACAGUUGCCCGUCACAGGAAGUAAGGGACCAUGGUGCUCAGUAGUUUGGAUAAGAUGAUUCACCUGCAGAAAAACACUGCCAACAUCAGGAACAUCUGCGUUUUGGCUCACGUUGACCAUGGAAAAACUACUCUGACUGACUGUCUUCUGUCUAGCAAUGGGGUCAUCUCCAGCCGCCUGGCGGGUAAGGUAAGUU